CAGUUCGGAUCGCAGGCUGCAACCCGCCUGCGUGAAGUUGGAAUCGCUAGUAAUCGCGGAUCAGCAUGCCGCGGUGAAUACGUUCCCGGGCCUUGUACACACCGCCCGUCACACCAUGAGAGUCGGGAACACCCGAAGUCCGUAGCCUAACCGCAAGGGGGGCGCGGCCGAAGGUGGUUCGAUAAUUGGGGUGAAGUCGUAACAAGGUAGC
rnacentral:rRNA from 1 species